AGAGAGAGACAUGCGCGCAUAUCAAUAAGCGGAGGAAAAGAAACUAACAAGGAUUCCCUUAGUAACGGCGAGUGAAGCGGGAAGAGCUCAAAUUUGAAAUCUUCAAGGUUUUACCUUGACGAAUUGUAGUUUAAAGAAGUGUUUUCUGCUGAAGUUUUGGUAAAAGUUCUUUGGAAUAGGACAUCAUAGAGGGUGAGAAUCCCGUAUUUGACCAUUAUUUUCAGCUUUGUGAUACACUUUCAAAGAGUCGGAUUGUUUGGGAAUGCAGUCCAAAAUGGGUGGUAAAUUUCAUCUAAAGCUAAAUAUUGGCGAGAGACCGAUAGCGAACAAGUACCGUGAGGGAAAGAUGAAAAGAACUUUGAAAAGAGAGUUAAACAGUACGUGAAAUUGUCAAAAGGGAAGCGUUUGACACCAGUGUUGUUUUCUCGAAAAUCAAUUAAAAAUGGCUCGAUUUUGUAUUGCUGAGACCUUAAAAGCUCACUGUACAUUUUUCGUGUCUUUUUUAAUGCACUUUUCGUUUAACAAGUCUACAUCAGUUUCUUUUGUUGUAAAAGGGUCAUUGGAAGGUGGCUUUCUUUUCGGAGAAAGUGUUUAUAGCCCUUGGCCUCUGCAAUCGGAGAGACUGAGGUCUGCAGCGUAGACUCUUCGGGGCUAGAUACAUUUGUGCUAAGUUAUAGCUUUUUAUAGACAACUUGUUGACUAUAAUUAGUCUUGUAGCUUACUCGCUUAUGCUAUUUUACCUACGCUUAGGAUGUUGAAGAUGUAGCACAUCAU
rnacentral:rRNA from 1 species